UACGAAGGGGGCUAGCGUUGUUCGGAAUUACUGGGCGUAAAGCGCACGUAGGCGGACUCUUAAGUCAAGGGUGAAAUCCCGGGGCUCAACCUCGGAACUGCCUUUGAUACUGUGAGUCUCGAGACCGGAAGAGGUGAGUGGAAUUCCUAGUGUAGAGGUGAAAUUCGUAGAUAUUAGGAAGAACACCAGUGGCGAAGGCGGCUCACUGGUCCGGUUCUGACGCUGAGGUGCGAAAGCGUGGGGAGCAAACAGG
rnacentral:rRNA from 1 species